UUCUUUUAUUAUACCUGUACUUCUACUGUAAGAAAAUUGAACCUUUUUUGAAAUUAGGACAGUUACAAAUUUUUAAAAAAUUAACAAAGAAAUAAUGAAGCCUAUCCUACAAAUCAAUACCGGAAUUUUCUCUUUGGCAUGACUACCAGCCUCAGCAGGAGGAUUUUAGUAACAUGGAGUUCCUGAGUGGUUCUGUUUCUCUGAACAGCUCUAAUUACUGCAGAGUUAUUACAUGUUUAUUGAUUGUUGGGCCAAAUGAAUUAACAAUGGUCUGUUGUUUUUAUUUUUGUUGAAUAAUGAGUUAGUGGUUGUUUAAAAAUGUUUAUAGUGUUUUAUUUAAAAUCUAAAGGUUUACUAGGUUUAAAGCAAAUUAAGAAAACAGUUUAUUAAAACCAUAGGUUUAAAAAUUAAUGGACCAAAUGCACCUAUAAAAAUAAAAAUGGAAGGUUCUACAUCAUCUAUGGAGUAGUACUGUUAGAAUGCAAUGAAGACAAAUAAUUAUCCCUAGAGGAACACUAUUACCACCAUAGCUUAAUUAUGGUUUAUUUUCCCUUUCCUCUUGUGAUAAUUAUUCACUCCUUCAGACUAAGAGAUGCUGACAGUUCUCUAACAGUGUGGUUAUUUUUAUCCCACACACCCUGCAAUUUCCUCUCAUUUUAGUCCUAAGACAAUGUGUUCAUUUAUUUUCAGGUCCUAAAUUUGUUUUAAUGAUGUCUGUGUUUUUUUAGAUUAAUGAUUCUCUAAUUUUUAAAUCUUAGAACAAUUUCAUUCUGAUAUUUAAAAAUAUAUUGAGUGCCAUUUAACAUGUUAAGGAAUUCUCUGUCCUUACUCAAUCUAUACAUAAAUUUAAGUUUGAAGGUCAAGGCAGAAUAGCGUCAAGACUGGAAGUCACAAGACUUGGGUUUGAAUGGGAACUCUAUCACACAUUAGUUAUGUGUGAACUGGGACAAAACAGUUAAUCCCUAUGGGUUGCUCUUUUUUUAUUUUUAAGAUAGAGUUAGUAAUCAGUCCUGUGUUGUUAUGAGGUUCAGAUAGAAUAAUGGCUGAAAAACUGUUCACUUUGUACACCAUAAAGUUCUUGUCAUGUAUCAGUCAUAGCAUAUGUAUUCAUAUAUUUCAGAAGCAUUUGCUGAAUACACACUAUCUGCCAGACCCUAUGUUCAUGCCAGAAAUGUAAAGAUGUUUGAAUACAGGAGGAGGAGGAGGAUGAUGGUGAUGACAAAAUUUCAUAGGACUAAAUAUUUACAUAUUAUUUCUUAUAUCUAUGUAAUAUCAGAGUAUUUUAAAGGAGUUAUGAUAUUUCCUCCUAUCAAAUGUUUUAAGUCUGCAUUUUACUUACUUUGGAAGCAGUAAUUUUAUUCUAAGUUUGUCACAGAUAUUAUAUGCUGAAUGUCAGCAAUGAAGCUGAAAAUCUAGACUUAGGAAUAGGAUAUAAUUUAUGAUUCUAUAAUUUCUAGCAGAAAAGUAAAAAACUUAUUUUUUUAUUAAGCUGGUACAUUCUAUCAGGCUUUAUGUUUAGUUCCCAGUGUUGUCUCCAAUCAACUCUUCCUGUUUUGAACUGACAGUGGGCCCAGGCAGAGUUUCAAUACAAAUUGUCACAGAGAGAGACCACCUGUAGCACCUACUUUUUUCCAUGUCAAAAGCACAAAUGGCCGAAAGGACUCCAAGAGCAAGAGAGAUGUGAAUUGUGAUCGCAAAAGGACUCCAAGGAACUAUCCAUUCCGCUCACUUCUCUACCCUGCUCCAUGCCCUAGAAGGAUGACCCUGCAAACUGUAUCACCAGGCUCCCUUUGCCUUUGGCUUCCUGUUCAGUUCUGCCAACAAGAAAUAACCUCUCUCCACUGCUUCAAUGCCAAGAGUCUAAGGGAAGCUGUUCCUUUUGUGACUACAGCUCCUGGUGGGCAGUUGCCUUCCCUAAUGCCAGUUCUCUCCAAGCUCCAAGACUACUGCCUCACCUUGCUCCUUUGGGCAUGAAGGAGUAAAGGCUUCUUGAUGUUGCUAUCCCUAGAUGCCUCGGGAUCAUUUUUUGGUUUCCUCAUCCUUAUUUGUAUUCUUGUAAAUAGUUCAUUCAUUAAUUCUCAUCAAAAUUCAUUGUGAGCAUGUACUCAUUUGUACUCUGCCAGGGCCUGAGUGAUACAAUGAAUAUUUAUAACAAUAUGGAAAAGGAAGGGAAUUUUCACCCCAUUUUAGGGGUGAAAAAGGCCAAACACAGAGCCAGACACUCUUGACAAUAGAUAUUCAAUAAAAGCCAAUAAAUCUGAAGUGUGGGGUAUUAGGAUAAGUGAGAGCAGAUUUCAUAAAAAUCUGAGACAUGGGACCAAAUUCUUUUCAUCAGAUGACUUUUUCUCCAAAUGGAAUAUAAACAGAAGUGAGAGGGCAAAUCAGUAUUAAUUAGCUCACUUAGCCUGAAAAAUAACAACAAAAUCCUAUCAUUUAUAAAGAUGUAAAUUAUUGUUCUAGGUUUUAAUAAAAUUCAUAGAGAAAUGGUGCAGCAAAGAGCUUUUUCUUUGUGCCAUGUUAGGCUUGGGUGUAGGGUGGAGACAAGGAGGCAUCACAUCAUUAAUGGAAUGACUAGUGUUCUCACCUGCCUAACCAUUUGUGCAAUGAUUAACAAUUUCCAAUAAUGUUCUAUCAGAAGUGAAUUAUUUGGCCUCCUUUUCACA